UAGGGAAUCUUCCACAAUGGACGCAAGUCUGAUGGAGCAACGCCGCGUGAGUGAAGAAGGUCUUCGGAUCGUAAAGCUCUGUUGUUGGUGAAGAAGGAUAGAGGCAGUAACUGGUCUUUAUUUGACGGUAAUCAACCAGAAAGUCACGGCUAACUACGUGCCAGCAGCCGCGGUAAUACGUAGGUGGCAAGCGUUGUCCGGAUUUAUUGGGCGUAAAGCGAGCGCAGGCGGAAUGAUAAGUCUGAUGUGAAAGCCCACGGCUCAACCGUGGAACUGCAUCGGAAACUGUCAUUCUUGAGUGCAGAAGAGGAGAGUGGAGCUCCAUGUGUAGCGGUGGAAUGCGUAGAUAUAUGGAAGAACACCAGUGGCGAAGGCGGCUCUCUGGUCUGCAACUGACGCUGAGGCUCGAAAGCAUGGGUAGCGAACAGGAUUAGAUACCCUGGUAGUCCAUGCCGUAAACGAUGAGCGCUAGGUGUUGGGGACUUUCCGG
rnacentral:rRNA from 1 species